GGGAUCAGUUGGGUAGCAAUACUCGGCUGUGAGACCGGCAAACGGGUGCGGAACACGUACGCAACUUUCCCAAAACUGGUGAAUAGCCCUCCGAAAGGAGGAUUAAUACACCGUAACAUAAUGAGAUGGCAUCAUCUUAUUAUUAUAGCUCCGGCGGUUUUGGAUGGGCGUGCGCCUGAUUAGGUAGUUGGCGGGGUAAUGGCCCACCAAGCCUACGAUCAGUAACUGGUGUGAGAGCACGACCAGUCACACGGGCACUGAGACACGGGCCCGACUCCUACGGGAGGCAGCAGUAAGGAAUAUUGGUCAAUGGACGAAAGUCUGAACCAGCCAUGCCGCGUGAAGGAUGACGGCCCUCUGGGUUGUAAACUUCUUUUAUCUGGGACGAAAAAAGAUCAUUCUUGAUCACUUGACGGUACCAGAGGAAUAAGCACCGGCUAACUCCGUGCCAGCAGCCGCGGUAAUACGGAGGGUGCCAAGCGUUAUCCGGAUUUACUGGGUUUAAAGGGUGCGUAGGUGGGUUAGUAAGUCCAGUGGUGAAAUCUUCGAGCUUAACUUCGGAAACUGCCGUUGAUACUAUUAAUCUUGAAUAUUCUGGAGGUGAGCGGAAUAUGUCAUGUAGCGGUGAAAUGCUUAGAUAUGACAUAGAACACCGAUUGCGAAGGCAGCUCACUACGGAAUUAUUGACACUGAGGCACGAAAGCGUGGGGAUCAAACAGGAUUAGAUACCCUGGUAGUCCACGCCCUAAACGAUGGAUACUCGACAUUUGCGAUAUACUGGUAAGUGUCUGAGCGAAAGCAUUAAGUAUCCCACCUGGGAAGUACGAUCGCAAGAUUGAAACUCAAAGGGAAUUGACGGGGGGUCCGCACAAGCGGGUGGAGCAUGUGGUUUAAUUUCGAUGAUACGCGAGGAACCCUUACCUGGGCCUAGAAUGCGGUUUUGAUCGGUGAGUGAAAGGCUCAUUUUGGUAGCAAUACACCAGAUCGUUAAGGUGGCUGCCAUGGCUGGUCGUCAGCUCCGGUGCCGUGGAGGGUGUUGGGUUAAGUUCCCGCAAACGAAGCGCAACCCCUAUCAUUAGUUGCCAUCAGGUAAAGCUGGGAACUCUAAUGAAACUGCCGUCGUAAGGCGUGAGGAAGGAGGGGAUGAUGUCAAGUCAUCAUGGCCUUUAUGCCCAGGGCUACACACGUGCUACAAUGGCGAGUACAAAGGGCAGCUACCUGGUGACAGGAUGCUAAUCUCAAAAAACUCGUCUCGGUUCGAAUUGGAGUCUGCAACUCGACUCCAUGAAGCUGGAAUCGCUAGUAAUCGUAUAUCAGCAAUGAUACGGUGAAUACGUUCCCGGACCUUGUACACACCGCCCGUCAAGCCAUGGAAGCUGGGUGUACCUAAAGUC
rnacentral:rRNA from 1 species